AAUAUUGCACAAUGGAGGAAACUCUGAUGCAGCAACGCCGCGUGGAGGAUGACACAUUUCGGUGCGUAAACUCCUUUUAUAUAGGAAGAUAAUGACGGUACUAUAUGAAUAAGCGCCGGCUAACUCCGUGCCAGCAGCCGCGGUAAUACGGAGGGCGCAAGCGUUACUCGGAAUCACUGGGCGUAAAGAGCGUGUAGGCGGAUAGAUAAGUCAGAAGUGAAAUCCUAUGGCUCAACCAUAGAACUGCUUUUGAAACUGUUUAUCUAGAGUGUGGGAGAGGUAGAUGGAAUUUCUGGUGUAGGGGUAAAAUCCGUAGAGAUCAGAAGGAAUACCGAUUGCGAAGGCGAUCUACUGGAACAUAACUGACGCUGAGACGCGAAAGCGUGGGGAGCAAACAGGAUUAGAUACCCUGGUAGUCCACGCCCUAAACGAUGUNCACUAGUUGUUNGCGAGGCUUGACCUUGCAGUAAUGCAGUUAACACAUUAAGUGUACCGCCUUGGGGAGUACGGCCGCAAGCUUCCAAAAUGAAAUGAAUUGACGGGGGCCCGCACAAGCGGUGGAGCUUUGUUGGUUUAAUUCGAUGCAACGCGAAGAACCUUACCUGGUCUUGACAUCCACGGAAAGUUUUUCAGAGAUGAGAAUGUGCCUUCGGGAACCGUGAGACAGGUGCUGCAUGG
rnacentral:rRNA from 1 species